GUGGGGAAUAUUGGACAAUGGGCGAAAGCCUGAUCCAGCCAUGCCGCGUGAGUGACGAAGGUCUUCGGAUUGUAAAGCUCUUUUGGCGGGGACGAUAAUGACGGUACCCGCAGAAUAAGCCCCGGCUAACUUCGUGCCAGCAGCCGCGGUAAUACGAAGGGGGCUAGCGUUGUUCGGAAUUACUGGGCGUAAAGCGCACGUAGGCGGAUUUGCCAGUCAGGGGUGAAAUCCCGGGGCUCAACCUCGGAACUGCCCUUGAUACAGCAAGUCUUGAGUCCGGAAGAGGUGAGUGGAAUUCCUAGUGUAGAGGUGAAAUUCGUAGAUAUUAGGAAGAACACCAGUGGCGAAGGCGGCUCACUGGUCCGGUACUGACGCUGAGGUGCGAAAGCGUGGGGAGCAAACAGGAUUAGAUACCCCGGUAGUCC
rnacentral:rRNA from 1 species